rnacentral:rRNA from 1 species
CCUACGGGAGGCAGCAGUGAGGAAUAUUGGUCAAUGGGCGCGAGCCUGAACCAGCCAAGUCGCGUGAGGGAAGACGGUCCUAUGGAUUGUAAACCUCUUUUGUCGGGGAGCAAACGACGCCACGCGUGGCGUUCCGAGAGUACCCGAAGAAAAAGCAUCGGCUAACUCCGUGCCAGCAGCCGCGGUAAUACGGAGGAUGCGAGCGUUAUCCGGAUUUAUUGGGUUUAAAGGGUGCGCAGGCGGAAGAGCAAGUCAGCGGUAAAAUUGAGAGGCUCAACCUCUUCGAGCCGUUGAAACUGGUGUUCUUGAGUGAGCGAGAAGUAGGCGGAAUGCGUGGUGUAGCGGUGAAAUGCAUAGAUAUCACGCAGAACUCCGAUUGCGAAGGCAGCAUACCGGCGCUCAACUGACGCUCAUGCACGAAAGUGUGGGUAUCGAACAGGAUUAGAUACCCGAGUAGUC